CCUUACGGGCGGUGAGUGCAACCCUUACGGUUAGUUGCUACGCAAGAGCACUCUAGCCGGACUGCCGUUGACAAAACGGAGGAAGGUGGGGACGACGUCAAAUCAUCAUGCCCCUUAUGACUUGGGCUACACACGUACUACAAUGGCAGUCAUACAGAGGGAAGCAAAACCGCGAGGUGGAGCAAAUCCCUAAAAGCUGUCCCAGUUCAGAUUGCAGGCUGCAACUCGCCUGCAUGAAGCCGGAAUUGCUAGUAAUCGCGGAUCAGCAUGCCGCGGUGAAUACGUUCCCGGGCCUUGCACACACCGCCCGUA
rnacentral:rRNA from 1 species